AUACGUAGGUGGCAAGCGUUGUCCGGAAUUACUGGGUGUAAAGGGAGCGUAGGCGGGGAUGCAAGUCAAGUGUUAAAUCCAUCGGCUCAACUGAUGGCUGCGCUUGAAACUGCAACUCUUGAGUGAAGUAGAGGUUGGCGGAAUUCCUAGUGUAGCGGUGAAAUGCGUAGAUAUUAGGAGGAACACCAGUGGCGAAGGCGGCCAACUGGGCUUUUACUGACGCUGAGGCUCGAAAGUAUGGGGAGCAAACAGGAUUAGAUACCCUGGUAGUCCAUACUGUAAACGAUGAUUACUAGGUGUGGGGGGACUGACCCCUUCCGUGCCGGAGUUAACACAAUAAGUAAUCCACCUGGGGAGUACGACCGCAAGGUUGAA
rnacentral:rRNA from 1 species